AGCACUUCAAACCAAUACUGGACAUUUAGUUUUGUGCAGUCCAAUGAACUCCUAACUGAUGUCAUCACUGGUCUCAUCUCUACCUGAUGCCAUCACUGACCUCAUGUCUCUCUCAUUCACUCCCUGCUUGUGUUCUUCUCCACUGAGACACAUUGAUAACAAACAUUAUGUAAUAUAAUUUCCAUUUUAGUUUUUCCAUAUUAAUAAUAUUAAGAAAUGAAUGUUGGUAUCAAGUGGCUCCCCCUACACUUCCA